GAUGAACGCUGGCGGCGUGCCUAAUACAUGCAAGUCGAGCGAACAGACGAGGAGCUUGCUCCUCUGACGUUAGCGGCGGACGGGUGAGUAACACGUGGAUAACCUACCAAUAAGACUGGGAUAACUUCGGGAAACCGGAGCUAAUACCGGAUAAUAUAUUGAACCGCAUGGUUCAAUAGUGAAAGACGGUUUUGCUGUCACUUAUAGAUGGAUCCGCGCCGCAUUAGCUAGUUGGUAAGGUAACGGCUUACCAAGGCAACGAUGCGUAGCCGACCUGAGAGGGUGAUCGGCCACACUGGAACUGAGACACGGUCCAGACUCCUACGGGAGGCAGCAGUAGGGAAUCUUCCGCAAUGGGCGAAAGCUUGCCGGAGCAACGCCGCGUGAGUGAUGAAGGUCUUCGGAUCGUAAAACUCUGUUAUUAGGGAAGAACAAAUGUGUAAGUAACUAUGCACGUCUUGACGGUACCUAAUCAGAAAGCCACGGCUAACUACGUG
rnacentral:rRNA from 1 species